rnacentral:lncRNA from 1 species
CGGGUAUAUAUAAUAUCAUGUAACAGAGAAUAAAUCAAAUAAAGUAAACUAAAAAUAUACAAAUAAUAUCAACACAAAAAAGAAGAAAUAAAAUAAACUUUAACAUUAUAACUAUGUUGGAGCCUCCAAUUUCCGGGAGCGACAAAGGUUGUAGCCACACGACCAACAACAAAAGGCUAGCAUAUGCUACGGGUCUGUCCAUGUCGAACCUGUAUAGUAUAGUACAGUAUAGUCAUAUUCUUUCUAUCGCACACCAUUUCCACGACGGGGGGAGGAGUACAGGGCUGUCAUUAAAAACUUUUAAGAUACUUGCCUGUGGUGCAUUUUUACUUAUUUGGUGCUUUAUUGUUUUAGUUUUUGAAUAUAA